rnacentral:rRNA from 1 species
CCUACGGGUGGCAGCAGUGAGGAAUAUUGGUCAAUGGGCGCGAGCCUGAACCAGCCAAGUCGCGUGAGGGAGGACGGCCCUACGGGUUGUAAACCUCUUUUGCCGGGGAGCAACGGGCGUCACGUGUGGCGCCACUGAGAGUACCCGGAGAAAAAGCAUCGGCUAACUCCGUGCCAGCAGCCGCGGUAAUACGGAGGAUGCGAGCGUUAUCCGGAUUUAUUGGGUUUAAAGGGUGCGUAGGCGGAUCGUUAAGUCAGCGGUAAAAUCGUGGAGCUCAACUCCAUCCAGCCGUUGAAACUGAUGAUCUUGAGUGGGCGAGAAGUAUGCGGAAUGCGUGGUGUAGCGGUGAAAUGCAUAGAUAUCACGCAGAACUCCGAUUGCGAAGGCAGCAUACCGGCGCCCGACUGACGCUGAAGCACGAAAGCGUGGGUAUCGAACAGGAUUAGAUACCCUUGUAGUC